GCAGAGUCAGUCAGCGUCUGCCAGGAGGUGAGUAGAACUAACUUAAUCUUUUAUAUUAAGAAAAUCAAAUGCCUAAAGCAUGCUCAUGCAUCAUGUUUAUAUGUAAUAGGAUGAUUGCACUAGUUUCACGAAUGUGACGCAUUGCAUAAAUUGCUGUUUAUAUGAUGAGAUGGGUGGACCAAGGCGACCUUAAUAGCCCGUAAGUCUGUCAUUGAGUCCUUGUCAGUCGGGCAAGUACAUGUAAGGAAAGCCCAAUGAGAGCUCCUUCGGGGCCGAGUAUUGACAGAGGGAAUGUUGGGGUCAUGUCUAACCCUGAGGGGAAGGACGUUUCGAGAACCCUCUAAAAUCACCCGCGAGAGGAAGAGAAUGCUAGCGUGAACUCAAGCGGGGAAGAAAGGAUUGUUGUGUAAUAGUUGUGAUAUGGCGCAUUUCAUGAAAGCAUGUAAUUAAUGAGCUGUUUUCUAUGUUUCUACUCACUGGGCUUUCUAGCUCACCCCUCUCCUCUAACCCCAGGUUUGCAGGUUUAAGUCAGAGCUCAGAAGUCAGCAGGGUAAAGAUUUAAGUGACGUGUGUUUGUAAUAUGACAGUUCAUGUUUAUGUUACAGUUUAGUAGUUUUAGAAGUGGACAUGUAAUAUAAGUUGAUGUAAUGUAAUUUGAGAUAAUGUAUGUAACUGAUAGUAGAGUUAAUGUUUAUGGAUUAGAGUGUGCUUGGCCCUAUAGAUUGGUUAAUCCCUGUUGAUGCAUGGUUAUGUAAUGUUUUAAAUGUUGAGUUGAGAACCAGGCUUGAUGUCUGUAAUGUUGACCCAGUUAGAGCUUUUGAUGAGGGCUCUAGCAUGGGAAAGUUUAUGUUCACAGUUAUGUUGUAGCAUACGGAUCAAGCUUGGUGUAUGUUCAGAUUACAGGUUUUAUGUUUAAGUUUUUAUAUUAAAGUUUUUGAUCAUGCAUGGGAUUUUGCCAGGUAAUAGUAUGAAUGUUGGCUUGCUACGGGUCCCGGCGGCCUUAAGCCGAUCUGGAUCCUAGCGCCGGUGGCGGUUCGGGACGUUACAGUAGGGUAUCGGUUUUCGGGCUGUUACAGAUGGUAUCAGAGCAUAGGGCCUCAUAAGUACGGUGUGUUGAGCAUUUUGCUCAAGGACUAGAGAUAUCCCACAUCGGAAAGAGGUUGGUUUAGACGUCAUAGAAGGGCAAGCACAAUAGGUAAGAUCGUGUCCACUAGGAUAGGAUGUUGAGUCCUGUCUUGCUAUGACUAUGUGGAAUGCCAUGUUUGAUGCAUGUGCAUUUAUGUUGUAUUAUGGAUGUUGACUGAUCUCUGGUGCCUCGAUAUGUUAUGCUAUGAUAUGAGAUGAGUUGAGAGACCAGGUAUGGUUUUUUUUGGCACAGUUGGUCAUGGCAUGUUACGCUAGGUUGAGGGUCAUUGGUGUCAGGUUCAUCCAUGAUAUAUAUGUUUCAUAGGAGAGUUCAUGUGUUUGCUACAUGGACCCUAUGAUGUGAUGCUAUGAGUUAUGAGUUCAUGUGUUUUCCAUGGACCACAUGAUAUGAUGUGCUGCUGAUGUUUGCUUGUGUGUCUGUUGUGUUUUCAGAAGAGCUGAGAUGCAUGGUGCUAGUGGAUCUGUGGAGUCCGAUCCAUCUGAGUGGGAUGGAAUGGUGCAGAGGAGGGAUGUAGGUGUACAAGUGAAUAUGGAUGAAGAGAGUUUGGGAGAGUCAGAGGAUGACGCCCAGACUAAGGAUUCCAGGAUCUCUAGUGUUGCAGAAGUUGAUCUCUCCAUGUUGAGUUCAGCUGCCAAGAGAGGUAGACAGUGGGGAAGAACCCGUAGGCAGCGGAAUAGAGCCCCUAAGAAGUGGGGCAGAACCAGGAAGGGCAGGUUGUGGAAGAGGCUCAGGGUUGGUCUGGAGGUCUCUGGUUCAGGCACUCCAGGAUGUGAGAGAUGUGGCAGGCCGCACCAGGGAGUUUGUCUGUUUGGGACUAAUCUAUGUUUUAGAUGCGGACAGGAGGGGCACGUGGCGCGCGAGUGUCCCACUGCACCCGGAUUAGCUCAGUCCCAGCGGUCAGUUUCAGGUGAUGUGGCCCCGACCAGUAGGCCAAGAGGAGGAGCAGACACAUCGAAUACGGUGACGCCAGGUACGCUCACUUUUGAAUGUUCUGAUGUGUAUGUUUUGUGAACCUUGGUGUUUCUCUUUCUUUAGUUGCUCUAGGAGCCGUUGAGGGGUUGAGUUGACAGCUUCUAGGUUAGAGUGUCCUCUUUGGGUCAGUGGCCCAAGUGUGAUCCAUCUAUGGCAGAGUCAGUCUGCCGGUUCAGUUCAGUGUCAGCUGAGGGUAGAUGCUUUCCACCCGACCUUGAGGUCCUAGACUUGAUUGUCUGGAUGUCAUUUUAGGGAUGGAUUAGUUUUCUACUCGUGGUGCUAUCUUGGUCUGUAGAGACAAGGUAGCUAGGUUCGGAGGACAGGAUGGAUUAGAGGUAGUCUGUUGAGGGGACAAGGUAUGGAUGCCUAGAGGUUUGGUGUCAACCUGUCAAGCUCGUAGGGUGCGUAGGAGGGGUUGUCAGAGGGUUCUAGCUCUUGUUUGAAAGUUUAGUAAUCAGGUCAGGGAACCAGCCUUGGUGUUAGCAGUGAGAGAGUUUUAGGCGUCUUUCCAGACAAGCUGUCAGGUGUAUCACCUGUCAGGGAUAUAGAGUUUGACAUAGGAGUGGUGUCUGGACCCAGAACCAUUUCUAUCCUUCCCUACAGGAUAGUACCAGUAGAGUUGUGAGCGUAGUUGGUAUAGCUGCGAGACUUGGUAGACAAUGGAUUUAUCCGACUUAGUACCUCACCCUGGAUGUUCCAGUGUUGUUGCGGGAAAAGAAGGACAGAUCCUUUAGACCUGGUAGCAACUGUGAGCAGUUGACCAACGUCACUACCAAGAGCAGGUGUUGGUUACCUAGAAUCGAUGAUCUACUUGAUCAACUAGCAGGAGUCAGUUGUUUCCAAGAUAGAUCUGAGAUCCGAUACUACCUGUUGAGAGCUAGAGACAGUAUAGUUUUCAAGGGAAAAGAGAAGAGUAAGGAUCGGAGUGCGCAGCGAAAGUGUGUGGAGUUUCAGGAAAAGGUUGAGGUGUUGCUUGAGGUGUUUUCUUUUGAGAAGGAUGUUUCUUUCUGGAGGAAGUCCUUAUGGAAUUUUCCGUGUUCCAUGUUAUGGAAGUUCGUGUCAGAUCCAAGUUAGGUUCUUAAGGAACCAAAGGUGGAGAUAUCAGGAAGUCUCACCUAUGUGAGCAGGCAGUACGGAUCAUUGACACACAAGUCAGAAAGAGGAGGAACAAGGAGAUUCCAACGGUGAUAGCCUUUUGGGACCGUCUGUGUGGGCGAGUUCGCUUGGGAGAACUGGGAGUUCUUACUCCAUCAGUGCCCGUGUCUCUCUUUUAAGAGGGAGGUUUUUGAAGUUUUGCUUACUUGCUUAUGUAUGCUUGAUGCUAUGUUUUGAGUAUGCCUGUUUGUUGUUUGAACAUUCGGGGACGAAUGUUCUUAAAGGGGGAAAGAAUGUAAUACCCAGCUCAAGUCUGGCAUCGGAAUCCCUGUAGUCAAGCGGAUUUCUGAUGUCGGAGUACCCUGGAAGGGGGUCGGGUUAUGUUUUUAUAUGUUUUCAAGAGUUUUAAUGUUUUAAAAAUUUGUUAAAGGAAUUGGGUUUUUGAAAGAAAAGGACCAAGGAGACUUUUGCCAGGUUCGGCCGCCGAAAGUGGAGUUCGGCUGCCGAACAUGAGACAGUUUCGGGUGUGCCUUUGGCCUCCGAAACACCCGAAAGUCUUGAAGGCAGAAACUAGGUUCGGCCGCCGAACCUCAAGUUCGGCCGCCGAACAUGGGGGAGUUUAGGGUGCUGGUUUGGCCGCCGAAGGUGGUUCAGCCGGUCACCUAUAAAAGGCCUCAGAUCGAAAAUGGGAGAGUUUUCUCCCCAUUCUCGAGCUCAGGUUAGUUUUUGUACUCCUUUGGUCGUUUUCAUGCUUUCUCUACCCAUCCCUCAAGUUUUUCAUGAGUUUUACCCUUGUUUUGAUGUUUUGAAGCUUAAAAAGGAGUUUGGGAGCUUGGAGGCUUUUGGAGCUUGGAUCCUUCACACCUCCGAGUUAGGGAUCUCACCACUCCUCGAUCUUCAAGAGGUAAGUGUAGAUCCUUGCUUUCCUAGUGUUUUAAUGAAGUUUUAAGUAAGUUUAAUGAUGUUGUGAUGGUUGAGUAUGGGUAGAUAUGCAUGUUUAGGUUUAUGUGAGUUUUAUGCCCAAUGUAUGCCAAUGUAUGUUUAUAUGAUGUUAUGUUGAGGUUUAAGCUAGUUUAUACAUGUGGGAGUGAGUAUGCAUGAUUGGGAGAGAGUAUGUGAGGUUUUGGGUUGUUUUGAGUUGGUUUGUGGCUAGGCAGAAUCGGACCUGUCGUCCAGAGGGGACCAGGUUCGGCUGCCGAACCAGCAUGGGAGGCAGCCUUUCGGCUGCCGAACGUGCCCCCGAAGGAGGGACUUUCGUUUCUAUCCAGGCGUUUCGGCCGCCGAACCUGCCGCCGAACUUACCCGAGUUUCGUCUCUGGAAGGGACUUUCGGCCGCCGAAGGUGCCGCCGAAAGUGCCCUGUCCAGCCGUUUCUUGGGUGUUUUCUAUGUAUGUUUAAGUGAUGUUUAGAGGGGUUUUAGGGGGUAUGCUUAUGAGUUGUUAGAGUGUGUUUGGCACCUCAUUCGAGUGCACCUGUGUAGGAUUGGACCCGAGAGACCAAGGAGGCCAGUAGUGCUAGCAGUUGCAGAGUCAGUCAGCGUCUGCCAGGAGGUGAGUAGAACUAACUUAAUCUUUUAUGUUAAGAAAAUCAAAUGCCUAAAGCAUGCUCAUGCAUCAUGUUUAUAUGUAAUAGGAUGAUUGCACUAGUUUCACGAAUGUGACGCAUUGCAUAAAUUGCUGUUUAUAUGAUGAGAUGGGUGGACCAAGGCGACCUCAAUAGCCCGUAAGUCUGUCAUUGAGUCCUUGUCAGUCGGGCAAGUACAUGUAGGAAAGCCCAAUGAGAGCUCCUUCGGGGCCGAGUAUUGACAGAGGGAAUGUUGGGGUCAUGUCUAACCCUGAGGGGAAGGACGUUUCGAGAACCCUCUAAAACCACCCGCGAGAGGAAGAGAAUGCUAGCGUGAACUCAAGCGGGGAAGAAAGGAUUGUUGUGUAAUAGUUGUGAUAUGGCGCAUUUCAUGAAAGCAUGUAAUUAAU
rnacentral:lncRNA from 1 species